AGUGAACGCUGGCGGCGUGCCUAAUACAUGCAAGUCGAACGGAGUGGCGCACGGGCGAGUAAUAUAUAUCUAACUUGCCCCUUACUAAGGGACAACAAUUGGAAACGACUGCUAAUACCUUAUAGUAAUGGUUAGGGCUAUAUCGUAUCAGCUAGUUGGUAAGGUAACGGCUUACCAAGGGUAUGAUGCGUAACUGGUGUGAGUGGAUGAUCAGUCACACUGGAACGGAGACACGGGCGAGACUCCUACGGGAGGCAGCAGUAGGGAAUAGUGGUCAAUGGGGGAAACCCUGAAGCGGCAUCGGCGCGUGGAGGAUGACACUUGUCGGAGCGUGAACUCCUGUUCUUGGGAAAGCGGUACCCAAGGAAUAAGCACCGGCUAACUCCGUGCCAGCAGCCGCGGUAAUUC
rnacentral:rRNA from 1 species